AUUGAACGCUGGCGGAAUGCUUUACACAUGCAAGUCGAACGGUAGAGGGGGCAACCCCUCGAGAGUGUCGAACGGGUGAGUAAUAUAUCGGAACGUGCCCAGUCGUGGGGGAUAACGUAGCGAAAGUUACGCUAAUACCGCAUACGAUCUAAGGAUGAAAGCGGGGGAUCGCAAGACCUCGCGCGAUUGGAUCGGCCGAUAUCAGUUUAGGUAGUUGGUGUGGUAAUGGCUCACCAAGCCAACGAUCUGUAGCUGGUCUGAGAGGACGACCAGCCACACUGGAACUGAGACACGGUCCAGACUCCUACGGGAGGCAGCAGUGGGGAAUUUUGGACAAUGGACGCAAGUCUGAUCCAGCCAUUCCGCGUGCAGGAUGAAGGCCCUCGGGUUGUAAACUGCUUUUGUACGGAACGAACAGGUCUCUCUUAAUACGGGGGGCUCAUGACGGUACCGUCAGAAUAAGCACCGGCUAACUACGUGCCAGCAGCCGCCGCAG
rnacentral:rRNA from 1 species